CUGCGUAUGCAGCAUUGGGGUCACUCAUGUACAUGUUUUGGCCGGAGGCACAGAGAGACACUCAAAACAUAAUAUCAGAUUUAUAAGGUCUAUCCAAAGCCAAAUUGCUUUCAUUGCUGCUUCAUAAACUGAGGGAUCGUAGCCUUUGUUCAAUGUCAAAAUGUGGCUAUUUCUUUUAUGUUCACGUUGAGUCGAGUCAUCUAUAAAUUCACCACUUAAGGACAUACCUAUCAUCUCCGA
rnacentral:lncRNA from 1 species